UUCUUGGGAGAAUUGCAGCGGGAGAAAACACGAAACGAAAAUGGUUCCACCGACGACGCUUUUCUGAUUCCUGAAAUCCCGAUAGAGAGGGCCGAAGGGGAAAGCGCCGUUUGCAUUUUCUCCUCCUGAUCGGAACUCCAACUCUUCGAAUCCCUUCGGGCGUCGGAUCUGCCAUUUCGAGGUAACUGCAAUUUUUCGUCGCCAUCGCCAAGUUUGAUCUUUCUCGCACCACGGUGAGAAAUUGCUGGAUCCGGAACGGAUGCCGUUGUAAAGAUCCAUCUUUUCCCUUCCCCUUCCAGUGACCACAAUCUGUCGCGCUUCAUACCGAUUUCUGAAUUCCUCGGUGAAAUAGGAGUUCUUUUUUUUUUUCUCCGGAUCUCCAUUGAGUCAAAGAUGGUCUUCUGGGAAGGGUACAUCAGUGAUGAGUUGAUGGGCACCUUUGCCCCCGUCGUAGUGUAUUGGCUGUACGCUGGACUGUAUCAGCUCCUGCCUUCCCUGGACCAGUACCGAUUGCAUACUAGAAAAGAACAGGAGCAGAAGAAUGUGGUGCCUUUACCCUCUGUGAUUAAGGGAGUUUUGCUUCAGCAGCUGGUUCAGGCCACGGUUGCAGGGCUCAUGUUCUUGGUGACUGCCAAGCCAAGUUCAAGUAGCUUAGCUCAGCCACCGUUACUCGUCCAAUUGAUCCAAAUCGCGGUAGCAAUGUUCAUAAUGGACACAUGGCAAUACUUCAUUCAUCGAUACAUGCACCAGAACAAGUUCCUGUACCAGCAUGUCCAUUCACAGCAUCAUAGACUUAUUGUUCCUUAUGCUAUUGGUGCCCUUUACAAUCACCCGCUGGAGGGACUUCUUCUCGAUACCUUUGGUGGGGCCAUCUCAUUCCUGAUCUCAGGGAUGACUGCACGAACCUCGGUCUUCUUCUUCUGCUUUGCUGUUAUCAAGACGGUGGAUGAUCAUUGUGGCCUUUGGCUACCUGGAAAUAUUUUCCAUAUCCUCUUUCAGAACAACACUGCCUACCAUGACAUCCAUCAUCAACUCCAGGGCACAAAGUACAACUACUCCCAGCCGUUCUUCUCGGUAUGGGACAGAUUGCUGGGCACCUACAUGCCUUUCAGCUUGAUGCACCGCCAAGAAGGUGGAUUCGAGGCAAGGAUACUAAAAAAGAUUACUUGACAUGUUCAAAGACAGAUUGCAGUGGUAUGCAUAAAAAUAUACCAGUUGUUGAGAAUCUAUGCAGUUCAAUUCUCUCUCAAAAAAAAAAAAACAGUAGGACGUUUGAUUCUUCAUUUCUGCUUGUUUCAGUCUCUUUGUUCAGCUCAAUUGUUCAGUCAUUGCCACUGGCUCACACACUACAUGUUCAUCUAGGAAUUCUGAGAUUCCCAACUUCAUUAAUGUUUCGAAAUUUACUUGAAUAUCCCGAAACUUGUGAAUCAGAGUUUUCUUAUUAAUUUGUGGGAAAUUGAUGUAGAGAAGAGGCAACCUAAAGUCAACCGAAGGCCACAGACUUCUCCGGCCCUCACAGCACCUACUUCACCAUGAUGAAGUGUACGAUACAUGGAUGGAUUAUCGAUCUAAAGUUGCUAGAUUUGGCAGAGGCACCACCAGUUGCAUGAAUCUCACAAAGCCAUAUCGUUGUCUGAAAGAGACAUGUCUGUAAAAUAACACCUGGAUCACUGUUCCUCCACAUGGAUCUGUACCUCCAUGGUUAUGUCAGGAAGCAAUGCAACAGCGUCACCAUCUUCCUACCUGUUCUUUAUAUCUAUGUCUGUGAAUUAACUUUAAUUUGGUCCCCGCAUGGCUUGUUCCUCGUUUUAUGAACUAGUUAAAGGCAGAGAAAUGUAAUUCAGGAACCAUGGAAUCGUGUGUAACAAAAUGUAAUGAGAAAAACCUUUUCCUUUGUAAGAGAUUGUGAUAGCAUUUGCCAUUGAUUAUGGCAAUUAGAUUCCAA